CCUACGGGUGGCUGCAGUAAGGAAUAUUGGUCAAUGGACGAAAGUCUGAACCAGCCAUGCCGCGUGGAGGAUGAAGGUCCUCUGGAUUGUAAACUUCUUUUAUAUGGGACGAAAAAAGGCCUUUCCAGGUCGUCUGCCGGUACCAUAUGAAUAAGCACCGGCUAACUCCGUGCCAGCAGCCGCGGUAAUACGGAGGGUGCAAGCGUUAUCCGGAUUCACUGGGUUUAAGGUGGGUUUAGGUGGGUUGGGUUAAAUCCCCGAGCUUAACUUGGGAACUGCCAUUGAUACUAUCAGUCUUGAAUACCGUGGAGGUCAGCGGAAUAUGUCAUGUAGCGGUGAAAUGCUUAGAUAUGACAUAGAACACCAAUUGCGAAGGCAGCUGGCUACACGAGUAUUGACACUGAGGCACGAAAGCGUGGGGAUCAAACAGGAUUAGAUACCCCGGUAGUC
rnacentral:rRNA from 1 species